rnacentral:rRNA from 1 species
UACCAGCUCCUCGAGUGGUCGGGGCGAUUAUUGGGCCUAAAGCAUCCGUAGCCGGUUCCGUAGGUCCUCUGUUAAAUCCAACCGCUUAACGGUUGACCUGCAGAGGAUACCGCGGGACUAGGAGGCGGGAGAGGCGGACGGUACUCCGCGUGUAGGGGUAAAAUCCUUUGAUCCGCGGAAGACCACCAGUGGCGAAGGCGGUCCGCCAGAACGCGCUCGACGGUGAGGGAUGAAAGCUGGGGGAGCGAACCGG